UACGUAGGGUGCGAGCGUUGUCCGGAAUUAUUGGGCGUAAAGAGCUCGUAGGCGGUCUGUUGCGUCGGCUGUGAAAACCCGGGGCUCAACUCCGGGCCUGCAGUCGAUACGGGCAGACUAGAGUUCGGUAGGGGAGACUGGAAUUCCUGGUGUAGCGGUGAAAUGCGCAGAUAUCAGGAGGAACACCGGUGGCGAAGGCGGGUCUCUGGGCCGAAACUGACGCUCAUGCACGAAAGCGUGGGGAGCAAACAGG
rnacentral:rRNA from 1 species